UACGUAGGGCGCAAGCGUUGUUCGGAAUUAUUGGGCGUAAAGAGCUCGUAGGCGGCCUUUUGCGUCUGCUGUGAAAUCCCGGGGCUUAACCCCGGGCGUGCAGUGGAUACGGGCUGGCUGGAGGCAGGCAGGGGAGAACGGAAUUCCCGGUGUAGCGGUGAAAUGCGCAGAUAUCGGGAGGAACACCGGUGGCGAAGGCGGUUCUCUGGGCCCGUACUGACGCUGAGGAGCGAAAGCGUGGGGAGCGAACAGG
rnacentral:rRNA from 1 species